rnacentral:rRNA from 1 species
AGAGUUUGAUCCUGGCUCAGGACGAACGCUGGCGGUGUGCUUCACACAUGCAAGUCGAGCGAAUGAAGUAGGUAGCUUGCUACUUAUGGAUUUAGCGGCGGACGGGUGAGUAAUAUAUAGGAAUCUGCCUUAGAGCGGGGAACAACAGACCGAAAGGUUUGCUAAUGCCCCAUAGGUAUGCAGUCUUCGGAUUGUAUAUUAAAGGAGUAAUCCACUCUAAGAUGAGCCUGUAUCCGAUUAGCUAGUUGGCGGGGUAAAGGCCCACCAAGGCUACGAUCGGUAGUUGGUCUGAGAGGAUGAUCAGCCACAAUGGGACUGAGACACGGCCCAUACUCCUACGGGAGGCAGCAGUGGGGAAUUUUACACAAUGGGGGAAACCCUGAUGUAGCGACACCGCGUGAACGAAGAAGCCUUUUGGGGUGUAAAGUUCUGUCGGCUGGAACGAAAAAAAUGACGGUACCAGCAAAGGAAGCAUCGGCUAACUACGUGCCAGCAGCCGCGGUAAGACGUAGGAUGCAAGCGUUGUCCGGAUUUAUUGGGCGUAAAGAGUUCGUAGGCGGUUAUUUAAGUCUGAUGUUAAAUACUGUGGCCCAACCACAGAACUGCAUUGGAUACUGGAUGACUUGAGUGCGGUAGAGGCAAGUGGAAUUCCCAGUGUAGCGGUGGAAUGCGUAGA